rnacentral:rRNA from 1 species
UGGAGAGUUUGAUCCUGGCUCAGAUUGAACGCUGGCGGCAGGCCUAACACAUGCAAGUCGAGCGGCAGCGGGAAAGUAGCUUGCUACUUUUGCCGGCGAGCGGCGGACGGGUGAGUAAUGCCUGGGGAUCUGCCCAGUCGAGGGGGAUAACUACUAGGAAACGGUAGCUAAUACCGCAUACUCCCUACGGGGGAAAGCAGGGGACCUUCGGGCCUUGCGCGAUUGGAUGAACCCAGGUGGGAUUAGCUAGUUGGUGAGGUAAUGGCUCACCAAGGCGACGAUCCCUAGCUGGUCUGAGAGGAUGAUCAGCCACACUGGAACUGAGACACGGUCCAGACUCCUACGGGAGGCAGCAGUGGGGAAUAUUGACACAAUGGGGGAAACCCUGAUGCAGCCAUGCCGC